rnacentral:rRNA from 1 species
GUAGUCCACGCCCUAAACGAUGUCAACUAGUUGUUGGGGAUAGCUAUCCUUAGUAACGAAGCUAACGCGCGAAGUUGACCGCCUGGGGAGUACGGUCGCAAGAUUAAAACUUAAAGGAAUUGACGGGGACCCGCACAAGCGGUGGAUGAUGUGGAUUAAUUCGAUGCUACGCGAAAAACCUUACCUACCCUUGACAUGGUCGGAACCUGGCUGAGAGGCUGGGGUGCUCGAAAGAGAGCCGGCACACAGGUGCUGCAUGGCUGUCGUCAGCUCGUGUCGUGAGAUGUUGGGUUAAGUCCCGCAACGAGCGCAACCCUUGUCCUUAGUUGCUACGCAAGGGCACUCUAAGGAGACUGCCGGUGACAAGCCGGAGGAAGGUGGGGAUGAUGUCAAGUCCUCGUGGCCCUUACGGGUAGGGCUUCACACGUCAUACAAUGGUCGGUCCAGAGGGCUGCACACCCGCGAGGGGAAGCCAAUCCCACAAACCCGAUCGUAGUCCGGAUUGCAGUCUGCAACUCGACUGCAUGAAGCUGGAAUCGCUAGUAAUCGCGGAACAGCCUGCCGCGGUGAAUACGUUCCCGGGUCUUGUACACACCGCCCGUCACACCAUGGGAGUGAGUUUUACCAGAAGUAGCUGGUCUAACCGCAAGGAGGAUGGUUACCACGGUAGGAUUCAUGACUGGGGUG